rnacentral:misc_RNA from 1 species
CUUGUGGCCCAUGAAAAAUUUUCAGAACCUAGAGAAGUGGAGGAGCUGGUUAUAGCACCAGUGAAGAAAGAGCUGGGCCUUGCAUUCAAGGGUAACCAAAAGAUGGUGGUUGAAUCUUUGGAGGCAAUGAAUGAAAAAGAGGCUAUGGAAAUGAAAGCCUCUUUGGAAACUAAGGGAGAAGUAGAGUUUUAUGUCUGUACUCUUGAGAAAAAUGUGUCCAUUAAAAAGAAUAUGGUCACAAUUUCAAAGGAGAAGAAGAAGGAACACCAGAGAGUUUUUACACCAUCAGUGAUUGAAAUUGAGCCAUCUUUUGGCAUUGGACGUAUAAUAUAUUGCCUCUUUGAGCAUUCUUUCUACAUGAGGCCUAGUAAAGCUGGGGAUGAACAGUUGAAUGUUUUCCGCUUUCCUCCAGUUGUGGCUCCUAUUAAAUGCACUGUUUUCCCACUCGU